CAGGAGUGAAUCACUUAUGUGACAUACUGAAGGAUUCACGCUGUAAACUGGAGAGAUUGAGUCUUUAUGAGUGUGGCAUUACAGAUGUUUCUUCUUUAACUCAGUCUUUGACAAACACAAAAGCUCUGCAGUUUCUAAAACAGCUUGAUCUGAGACUCAAUAAGAUUGGAGACUCAAAGCAGAAGCUCAUUGAUGUGCUACGAGACUCAAACUGUAAACUGAGUGUAGAUACAGAUCCAUCACCAGAAGCCUCUGAUAGAGUUCAAUCACCAAAAGCUGAUGAAUGCUGUAUAUCAUAAUGUGAAGUGUUCUUGAGAGGAGCAGUAAACAUCAGCUGAAGAUCCACAGAAGAGCUUCACUACUGUGUCUAUGAGGAGAAAUAAAUGUGUGAUAAAUGUGUAAAUGUGAUCCAUACAGGUGAAGAGACUCAGACUUUACAAUGAAAUAAUGCAGCAUGUGUGUUAGAAAACAUGAUAUUGAAUGAUUAAUGUUGCUUUAGUAUUCAAGCAGAGGAUCAUUGUGUUUAAUGUAAAGCUGGAACAGAGGAGGAAGAAGCUCAGAUGAGUCUGUCUGGCUCUUCAGUUUAAUAAUAUUUGUAUUAAACUCAUUCAUAAUCAUUCAGAUGUUUAAAUGUGAUUGUCAAGUGCAGCACUUAAAUGUAUCAAAAGAUAUAAAGCAGAUCUACAAUGUGUGAAAUUUCCAUGUUACUAAAAACAUUUCCAUGAUCUCUCUUACAUUUUCUACACAUUGUUAUUCUAUUUAAUUCUAUAUUAAGUUAGCUCUGUGUCUGUCUGUUGCUAACAAUCACAAAUCCUCUCAUUACAACAAACAAAGCAGAAACACAGAGUAAAUAAAAGCUGGAUUGUGCAGUUUUGACAGAUGAAUUGAUUAAAACGGGAGUUUUCACACACAGUGACUUUGUGCUGAACUGACUGACAGCUUCAGUGUUUAGAAAUGCUGCACCUUUUACUCACUGUUUGUGUCUGCUUUGGGUACUGGAGAGAUUAAGAAAAUACACUUUGUUUAA